rnacentral:rRNA from 1 species
UACGUAGGUGGCAAGCGUUGUCCGGAAUUAUUGGGCGUAAAGCGCGCGCAGGUGGUUUCUUAAGUCUGAUGUGAAAGCCCCCGGCUCAACUGGGGAGGGUCACGCGAUACUGAUCGACUCGAAGGCAGGAGAGGGAAGUGGAAUUCCCGGUGUAGUGGUGAAAUGCGUAGAUAUCGGGAGGAACACCAGUGGCGAAGGCGACUUCCUGGCCUGUUCUUGACGCUGAGGCGCGAAAGCUAGGGGAGCAAACGGG